UGGGGUGUGGCUCAGUGGUAGAGCUCGCCUGGGAUGCGUGGGGCACUGAGUUCGAUCUUCAACACCGCAU
rnacentral:tRNA from 1 species